GGAUGGGUGGCCGAGUGGUUUAAGGCAGCGGUCUUGAAAACCGCCGAGCGUGGAAGCGUUCCGUGGGUUCGAAUCCCACCCCAUCCG
rnacentral:tRNA from 2 species